rnacentral:rRNA from 1 species
UACGGGGGGGGCAAGCGUUGUUCGGAAUUACUGGGCGUAAAGGGCUCGUAGGCGGCCAACUAAGUCAGACGUGAAAUCCCUCGGCUUAACCGGGGAACUGCGUCUGAUACUGGAUGGCUUGAGUUCGGGAGAGGGAUGCGGAAUUCCAGGUGUAGCGGUGAAAUGCGUAGAUAUCUGGAGGAACACCGGUGGCAAAGGCGGCAUCCUGGACCGAUACUGACGCUGAGGAGCGAAAGCCAGGGGAGCAAACGGG